CUCUCUCUUCUCUAAUUGCACGGGACGAGCCUUCCUAGCUCCUUCUCCUUCUCAUCUAACAUAAAAAGGACUCGGCAACGAAUUCUCUCUUUGCUACAUAAUGAUGUUAUUCCAACAAUGUAACAGGAACCUUUUCUUCUGGCUUCUGGUGGGAGAUAGUGUUCUAUCUACUGCUCCGGGUUGGUGAUACUUCUGAGACAACAAUGCCAUGGACACAGUUCGUAAAUCCUACCAAGUGGUUAUGCACAAAUUCGUUUGCCUUCGUUUUCUGUCGUACUAACAGCACGCGGCUACAGUGAUGCCUCACAUGCAACACACACACACACACACGUACAAAAGCCUUUUUUGUAGGUACACAUGCAUUAUUGUGGCCUUUUUCGUAGAAUCCGAGCCAUUAUUCCCCAAGCAAAUUAGGUCCCUUGUUACUCCGAGCUUUGAGCCUGAAUCAUGAUGUCCCACAUACUUGAAGCCGUGUAGCUUUCAGAUCCUUAUCUCCUCCACAGCUAAUGUGCUCCUAUGCAUGCUUAGCUGCUUUCUACGAACGUGCACAUAACGUUGCUGGUUGCGGUAAGUUUGAUCGAUGCAUUUGCAAGGUACAUAUAUGGUCCAAAUCAAAGUGCUCAUGCUACGGAAUUUUGUAUUGUUCUUGGGGUCUGUGUCAAGAGAGAGAGCUAUGGAGGCCAACUCCUCACCAUGUCAGACGUGAUGGGGGAAUGCCAACACCAUAAGAGAUGAAGGUGUGGGGUUUUUGAUUAGGGGAGAGGAAAUGAUUAGGAGGUAGCUUUGAGAAGGAGCAACAGGGAAUUGGCGCCUACCGAUGCAAAGAGGAACACCAAAGAAGCCAUUGUUUGCUCUUGGUGCCAAAAACAGCCUAUUAAUUGUUGAAGUUAAUGAAAAGGUCUUUGCCCUCUACAUUUUACUUCUUUUUUUGUCUUGGAAAUUUUCAUUUUACUUCUUCUGUGUUUGCAAAUUUAUUCUAUUGGAGUUUGAUGGAAAAUGUUCAUCCUUUCGGUAAUUACAACUGAAUUUAUUCUCUUUUGCAAACAUUUAUAUUAUUUGAUCUCCCAAUCUUGUUUCUGCAAACGUACCAUCUCUUUCCUUUCUUGGAAUUAAGGUCGCUCUAAUGUCUUCCUCCUAAUCCUCUCCUCCGGCUCCCUCUGCUAUCAUUUGCAUUGACGGUUGCUCUUACCUAAUGAUGUGAGACCUUCCUAUUUGUGUUUCGUAAUGGAUAAAUGUAAUACCAUGCACUUUAAACAAAUAACUAAAAUAGUGAAUAUGUACAUAAAUAUAUUCUAUUUUUUGUGCAUAUUUUAGUCCAUUGCCUUUAAUGUAAAUACAUGCACUUUGAAUAGAUGCAAUACCUUCGAUUUCUUGUAUUCAAGGUUUAUAUAACAGCAGGUAAAAAAAUUAUACCGAAAAGAAAUCGAGGUUGAAACACUAUCAUUGGGAAAGGAGUUUAAACAGUAAUCUCAUGAAAAGCUAAGCUGAGUAACUUUCCAAAAUUUUACAUGUAGUGUUCAUCUUUCACUUUGUCUUCAACUGUUCUUUGUGCCAAUUUUGUCCUCAAAUGGUCUUCCUAUUGCUAAAAUCCUAGUCAGGAAUACCAUUCUUUCUGCGAGGCAUGCUCGGAGACAUACAAAAUCAUGUUUAUAUCAAACCAGUUAGCAUUGAGUUUAAUCUUUGGUAGUAGGUGGCAAGGUGGUCAGCAUUGAGUCACCCGUUGGUUUGUCAUGUGAAGUUCUUUUUAAGUCCUCUUGCUUCUAUCAUCCAUGGAGUACCCGAUGCGCUGGAAUGCGAUAUUAUCAACAUAGACUCCCAGCUCUCCAGGAAACACCAUUCUUUGAUCGGCCUCCUUGUUGUUAUUGGUCUGAAAUGGCACAAACAGAUCAAAUAAAUAUGUGAAUGAUCCUAGGGAUAAGAAAACACAGGUCAUGAUUAAACAACUGGUUUUUGAGAUGGGAGAAGAAAAAUAUUAUGGUAAAUAAUAGAUGAAACAACAAUCAGUUUUGUGUCAAAAGAAUUGCAACAUAAAAAUGAAAAUACUCUCGCAGCAUAUGUCAGCACUUGUUGACUAUAUUUGAAGCAACAUGAUCGAUAACUGCAGGAAUGUUAGCUUGAUCAUCAUUUGUGCAUGAUGAGAUAUAAUUAUCAAAAAUUUAGAUUAUUAUCAUCAGCAUUUAAGGAAGCAGAAGCCCAAGGUCUGGGAAGAUGCAGGAGACAUAGCCAGUUCAAAGUGGCCUUCUAAUUAACAGGUUGCCCACCGAUUUGCAUCCUAGGAGGCUUCAAGCCUUCAACUGUUCAUGGCAUGCUGCCUUGCCAUCCCGUAAGCAAUCAAAAAUAAAUUACCAACUUGGAUAAAGGCAUGCUUAGAUAGAGUAUUAUAGAGGCCUCGAUUGUUCAUGGCAUACAGCCUUGCCAUCCCGUAAGUACAGAUAUAUUAUGAAAUGGAUAGGAACAUGUCAUCAUCUGAUGGACAAUCAACUAGGGGAAAGCAAAAGCACAAGAAUUUGAGCAGUACUUAGAUUAUACAUUGAAUCUCAUUUGACCUUUCAGACCAUCUGUGCAAAUGGAUGACGAGAGGACAAAAUGGAUUUGCAAGAAAGAAAUUUUCAUGCUGCUUUGCAAGUCUACAACACGAUAAUAGAGCCUGUAUUCUGUAAAUAUUUUGGUUAGCUAGAUCAUAACAAUAGUUCAUAUCUGCGUGCUUUAUUCUGCUCAAGGAAAGAUGGUUACUUUAACUAGCUCUCACAAGAGAAAAUCACCUUGGCUGUCUCAGAUACAACUUCAUUUGUCUUAAUGUCACGAACGGUCAUUGCGCACCCGCAAUAAUUCUGUUUAACUAACCGUUCGUCACUCUCAUCUACAUGUAUAUUUGCUUGGCAGUAUGUUUUGGCUUGGUUUUAAGUCUUUUUACUUGUAAAAAUAUAAGUUCGAAUAAGUUAUAGCGCUAUAGUACGAUCGUUCACCGAACCGAGCAAAAACAUCCCCAAAACAGCCUAAAAUGGCUCUAUUUUCACGUGCCACGGGCUGUUUUCUGUAGCCCGCUGCUACAUGCGAAAUGUCAGCCAUCUCAGCACCCUAGAACCACCCAAGUGGCACCAUGGGGGAUGGGACUUCGGUAUAGUGUCGGGCGUUAAAUAAUGUUUCGCAAGUUCGUAUGUUACCUUAACGGGAACUUGUUGUCACGCCCGGCACCCGGUGAGCAGCUGUUUGUAGACUUGCAACUAUUCGUUCAACCCUCUAAAGUCUUUGUUUUCCUCCUCUCCCUCUUUUCUCUUGUGCACGUAAGGUGCUCGCUGAAUUGCUUGUAAAGCUUUCCCUUUUCAUGAGACGUCGGAACUUGUCCGUCACUCGUUCUUCGAACUAAUCAACUUUCUCUUUGCCGCAAGAGUGCCUCGUGACUUAGGCAACGCAAGCUAAGUUCGCGUCUUUGCCGCAAGGGUGCCUCAUGACUUAGGUAAUUCCAGCUAAGUCCAUGAAAUUAUGGUAUUAGAGCGGGCAAGCACUUCGAGCGAGCAGCGAAGGAACUUCGCAACUUCGCCAUGGUAAAACAUCGUGGCAAAUCAAGCAAGACGGGGCAAGCCAGACCAUUUCCCCAAGCAGCUGCAGGUGGGCUGCAAGUGCACACUCACUCUCAUGCUGUUGGAGCCACUCAAGAGGAGCACGAUAGUGAACAUGAUGAGCGAGAAGUUGGCUGCUCUCCGCGAGCGGAAGAGGCGCAAUCUGGUGCACCAACCGGGAAAAAGAGACAUAAGAAGAGACUCACAACGGCGGAAACCCGCUUAGAUAUUCUUGAAGCGAGCUUGGAGGAACUCUACCAUGGCCAACGAAGGCUUAUUGGGAUAGAAAGCUCACAAAAAGAAGCGGAGUCCAAGAUCGACAAGGUUGAGGCCCUAGUCGACCGAUUGUCAGAUGACACCAAAGACUCCGUGCAACACCUGUAGGAAGUUGUGGCGGAACUCACUUCAAGGGUGACCAUGCUCACAAGAGCACUAAAUGCGGGAGGAAGCAACACCCGCGUUGCGCCGCCACAAAACUUAAGGGCACCCGAGCCUCAUAGUUAUGGAGGGGCUAGAGAUGCUAAAGAGCUCGAGAAUUUCUUGUUCGAUAUGGAACAAUACUUUCGAGCUACGAGGCCUGAUUCUAAAGAAACCAAAUUUUCUAUAGCAACAAUGUAUCUGAAUAGAGAUGUAAAACUUUGGUGACGAACCCGUUGGGAGGAGAUCCAAUAAGGUUAGUGUCGAGUUGACACAUGGGAGGACUUGAAGCGGGAGUUGAGAACUCAGUUCCUACCGGAGAACAUAGAGUUCGUCGCAAGAAGGAAGUUGAGACAACUCCACCAAAAUACUUCUAUUCGAGACUACGUGAAGCAAUUUUCUAUGCUAAUACUGGACAUAUAGGAUAUAUCUAAGAAGGACAAGCUGUUUAGCUUCCUCGAUGGUUUAAAGCCAUGGGCUCAACAAAAACUACAUCGAAGGAAUGUCACCGACGUGAUCGGGGCAAUUGCUGCCGCAGAAAGGCUCACUAACUUUAUUUCCUUCGAAGACCUAGGAAAAAGGAAAUAAUCUUCAAGCAAUCGCCCUCCAAAAUAUUCUCGAGAGAAGGAGCUCGAGAGUAAACAAUGAAGAGUUCCCACAAAGGGCCAAGCCCGAAAGGCAAGGCCCUGAAACCUAGCGGAUGCUUCUUGUGCGGAGGGCCGCACAUGGUGAGGGAGUGCCCACAAAAACAGGCACUCAAUGCUUUAACAACUUUCAUCCAUCCCCCCAAAUCAGACAAGGGCAAGGCCGUCGCUCUUAGUUCGAGUAGUUCUGAAUCCAGCAGUGACGAUGAGGAGUCGUAAGGACCCCAAAUGGGAGCAAUGCGUUUGUUGAACACCAUGCGGGGUCAAGUGGGGGAGAACGCGAAGACAAGGCUAUAAAAAGCAAGAAGUGGUGAGUUGAUGUACGUAGAUAUUAAGCUCAAUGGCCAAACGACCCAUGUAAUGGUGGACAUGGGUGCUACCCACAAUUUUAUUACCGAUCGAGAAGCAAAGCGACUUGGGCUGAUCUUGGAGACGAGCCCAAGUCGAAUGAAGGCAGUGAACUCGGAGGUCAAGCAAAUCUCCGGCUUGGCAAAAGGAGUUCCCAUCAAGAUCGGAACAUGGAGCGGGAGCACAAACAUGAUGGCGGUGCCACUAGAUGACUUCCAAGUGAUUCUUGGAAUGAAAUUUAUGCACGCGAUGAAGUUGGUGCCAAUGUCGUUCUUUAACUCCCUAUGUGUGAUGGGAGGUGACAACCCCUGUGUGGUUCCCAUCUUUCGGAGAGGAGCUAGGGAACCCCAACAUAUAUCGAUAUUACAACUAAAGAAAGGGGUGCGAAGAGGUGAAUUAACAUUCGUGGCUGCUAUGAAGCUAGAGCCACUCGAUGAGAAGGUCAUUCAUGAACCUGCUGUGGUGGCGAACGUCCUGAAAGAGUUCACUGACAUUAUGCCAUCCGAGUUGCCGAAGACUCUUUCGCUACGCAGAUGCGUGGAUUAUAACAUCGAGCUGGAGCGGAAGUGAAGCCUCUAACGAGACUACCCUACCGCAUUAGGUGAAGGUAUAGUGGUGGUCUCAUUUACAGUUCUAAAGCACCAUUCGGAGCUCCCGUUCUCUUCCAGAAGAAACAAGAUGGGAGCCUCCGACUAUACAUCAAUUACCGAGCCCUCAACAAAGUGACGGUAAAGAACAAGUAUCACAUCCCGCUCAUCGCGAACUUGUUCGACCAGUUGGGCAAAGCCAAGUAUUUCUCAAAACUCGACCUUUGAUCGGGGUAUUGGCAGGUGCGCAUUGCUGAAGGUGACGAAGCGAAGACUACCUGCGUGACUAAGUAUGGAGCAUUUGAGGAGCAUGCUUAUAAACCAACUAUUCAAGGAGUAUUUGGAUAAGUUCAUGGUCGUCUACUUAGACGAUAUCGUCGUCUAUAGUCAAACGCUCGAGGAGCAUGUCAAGUACCUUCGGAUAAUCUUCAAGGUUCUCAAGGAGAACACUUUGUUUGUGAAAAGGGAGAAAUGCUACUUUGCACAAACGGAGAUCUUAUUCUUGGGGCAUCGAAUCGGUGAUGGCUCCAUUCGGAUAGACAAAUCGAAGGUGCAAGCGGUUGCGGAAUGACGAACUCCAAAGAAGGUGCUAGAGUUGAGAUCCUUCCUUGGCUUCGUCAACUACUAUCGACGCUUCAUAGCAGGGUAUUCAAAGUGUGCAACUCCACUAACAGAGUUGCUAAAGAAGGAGCAGCCUUGGAGGUGGUAUGAUAAAUGUAAAAUUGCAUUCUAAGAUCUGAAGACUGCUGUGUUGGAAGAACCAGUGCUCAAAUUGCCAAACUAUGGGGAGCCAUUCAAAGUCCAUAUAGAUUCUUCAGACUUCGCUAUUAGGGGAGUACUCAUGCAGGAGGGUCAUCCGGUGGCCUACGAGUGCCGCAAACUCAACAAGACCGAACGGCGGUAUCCAGUGCACGAGAAGGAGAUGACAGCGAUGAUCCACUGUCUACGAGUUUGGCAACACUACCUUCUUGGAUCACGAUUUGUAUUAAAGACAAAUAACAUCGCUUUGAGCUAUUUCUAAACCUAGAAGAAACUCUCCCCAAAGCAGGCAUGAUGGCAAGACUUCAUGGCAGUUUGAUAUGGUAAUGGAGUAUAAGCCCGGAAAGGCGAAUGUCGUGGCCAAUGCAUUGAGUCGAAAAGUGGAGCGUGUGAAUGUCGUACAAUUGGAGGGCAGAGGCCAAGCAAGUCAGUCGCACUCCAACUUCCUUUCCAGGAUCAGGGAUGGACUAUACAGCGAUCCCCAAGCAGAAGCCAUAAUACAGCUCAUUAAAGAAGGUAAGGCACGACAGUUUUGGGUCCACGAGAGACUCGUUUACACCAAAGGGAAUAGGGUCUAUGUUCCUUAAGUGGAUAAUCUAAGAUGUAAACUCUUAAGAGAGUAUCACGAUUCCCUUUGGCUGGACACCCAGGCAUUCAUAGAACCUUGGCUCUCAUGGAGAGGGCCUUCUAUUGGCCGAAGAUGGGGACUGAUGUGGAGGAAUAUGUUCGAACGUGCCUCACUUGCCAACAAGACAAGAUGGAGCAACGGAAGCCCGUGGGACUUUUGAAGCCGUUGCCCGUACCAGAAAGGCCUUGGGAGAGCACUUCCUUAUACUUCAUAUCAAGCUUGCCUACAGUAAGGAGACUCGGAUCGAUACUCGUGGUGGUCGAUUGAUUUUCUAAGUAUGCAACUUUCAUUACUGCUCCCCUACACUGUUCAGCAGAAGAGGCAGCCAAGCUGAUGAUGAAAGAUGUGAUGAAGUAUUGAGAGUCCCCGUACAAUAUCAUUAGUGAUCGAGACGCUCGGUUCUUGGGAUGAUUCUGGACCGAGCUAUUCAAAUUGUUGGGAUCGAAGUUAUACUUCUCCAUAAGCCUCCACCCCCAGACAGAUGGCUAGACUGAAAGGAUAAACUCGCUCCUAGAGCAAUAUCUUCGGUACUACAUGAGUGCCAACCAACAAGAUUGGGUGAAGUUGUUGGACAUUGCCCAAUUCUCCUACAACUUGUAGCGGAGCUCUGCGUCCAACAAGAGCCCCUUCGAGAUCAUUACAGGGUAACAACCGUCAUCUCCUCACACCAUGGUAAUUAGGUAUACUGGGAGUAAUCCGUCAGCCUACCACUUUACAAGGGAGUGGCAUCGAAAUGCAGAUAUUGCGUGGGCUUACUUGGAGAAGGCAGCAAAAAGAAUGAAGAAGUGGGCAGACUUGGGAAGGCGACCGCAAGAGUUCAAGAUUGGCGAUUUGGUGUUGGUCAAGCUCCAACCAGCAUCACUCCAAUUCUUUAGGAAUAAAGUCUAUAAAGGAUUUGUGCGUAAGUAUGAAGGGCCCUUUUCAAUUAUCAGUAGGGUGGGCAACGUCUCCUACAAGUUACAGCUGCCAGCGUGGUUCAAAAUUCACAAUGUUCUUCAUGCUAGUAACUUAAAAGCCUACCACUUAGAUCCGCAAGAUACUUCCCGAAGUGUUCCAACUCGGCUACCCCCCACCACAGCCCCCUACGAGAAGCGAGUUGAAACCAUUUUAGUGGACCGCAAGAUAAAGCUACCCAUUGGAGCUGAGCAGACCGAGUACUUUGUGAAACGGUGAAAGCUUCCCCGAAUUGAAGCCAGUUGGGAGCCUAAAGAUGCUCUACGACAUGAAAAAGCAAUUAUCAACGAUUAUCAACAAGUGUCGACGAGAGCAUCGACAGUUUGAGUGGGGGAGAAUGUCACGAACGGUCAUCGCACACCUGCAACAACUCUUUUCAACGAACCGUUCGUCGCUCUCAUCCAUAUGUACAGUUGCUUAGCAAUAUGUUUUGGCUUGGUUUUAAGUCUUUUUGUUUGUAAAAAUGUAAGUUUAAACAAGUUGCAGCAUUAUAGUGUGACCGCUCACCGAACCGAGCCAAAACAGCUCCGUUUUCAUGUGCCACAGGCUGUUUUCUGCAGCCCGUUACUGCACGCGAAACGUCAGCCAUCUCAGUACCCUGGAACCACCCGAGUGGUACCAUGGGAGAUGGGGCUUUGGUAUAGUGUCGGGCGUUGAACAAUCUUUCGCAAGUUCGCACGUUACCUUGAUGGGAACUUGUUGUCGCGCCCGACACCCGGUGAGUAGUUGUUUGUGGACUUGCAGCUGUUCGUUCAACCCUCUAAAGUCAUUGUUUUCCUCAUCUCUCUCUUUUCUCUUGUACAUGCAAGGUGCUCGCUGAAUUGCUUGUAAAACUUCCCCUUUUCGUGAGACGUUGGAACUUAUCCGUCGCUCGUUCUUCGAACUAAUCAACUUUCUUUUUUACAGGUCCUUCAAGACUUGCGAGAGGUUGCAAGUGAGCUGAUCUUUGUGGA
rnacentral:lncRNA from 1 species